CACUACGGUACGAGAAAGGGGAGCAAUCCCUGAGUACAGUGGCGCACGGGUGAGUAACACGUGACUAACCUACCUUCGAGUGGGGAAUAACCUGGCCGUUACCCGGGCUAAUACCGCAUAACACUUACGAGUCAAAGCAGCAAUGUGCUUGAAGAGGGGGUCGCGGCCGAUUAGCUAGUUGGCCGCGGAUCGCCACCCACCAAGGCUUUGAUCGGUAUCCGGCCUGAGGGGGCGCACGGACACACUGGAACUGAAACACGGUCCAGACUCCUACGGGAGGCAGCAGUGGGGAAUUUUGCGCAAUGGGGGAAACCCUGACGCAGCAACGCCUUUCCUACGGAGGAUGAAGUCUCUUUGUGACGACGUAAACUCCUUUCGAUCGGGACGAUAAUGAACCGUACCGGAAGAAGAAGCCCCGGCUAACUUCGUGCCAGCAGCUAUAGUAAUACGAGGGGGGCAAGCGUUGUUCGGAAUUAUCCGGAGCGUAAAGGGCGCGUAGGCGGCUUGGUAAGAGUCUUGUGUGAAAUCUAUACGGGC
rnacentral:rRNA from 1 species